GGGUUGUGAGGUUAAGCGACUAAGCGUACACGGUGGAUGCCCUGGCAGUCAGAGGCGAUGAAGGACGUGCUAAUCUGCGAUAAGCGUCGGUAAGGUGAUAUGAACCGUUAUAACCGGCGAUUUCCGAAUGGGGAAACCCAGUGUGAUUCGUCACACUAUCAUUAACUGAAUCCAUAGGUUAAUGAGGCGAACCGGGGGAACUGAAACAUCUAAGUACCCCGAGGAAAAGAAAUCAACCGAGAUUCCCCCAGUAGCGGCGAGCGAACGGGGAGCAGCCCAGAGCCUGAAUCAGUGUGUGUGUUAGUGGAAGCGUCUGGAAAGGCGCGCGAUACAGGGUGACAGCCCCGUACACAAAAAUGCACAUGCUGUGAGCUCGAUGAGUAGGGCGGGACACGUGGUAUCCUGUCUGAAUAUGGGGGGACCAUCCUCCAAGGCUAAAUACUCCUGACUGACCGAUAGUGAACCAGUACCGUGAGGGAAAGGCGAAAAGAACCCCGGCGAGGGGAGUGAAAAAGAACCUGAAACCGUGUACGUACAAGCAGUGGGAGCACAGAGCAAUCUGUGUGACUGCGUACCUUUUGUAUAAUGGGUCAGCGACUUAUAUUCUGUAGCAAGGUUAACCGAAUAGGGGAGCCGAAGGGAAACCGAGUCUUAACUGGGCGUUAAGUUGCAGGGUAUAGACCCGAAACCCGGUGAUCUAGCCAUGGGCAGGUUGAAGGUUGGGUAACACUAACUGGAGGACCGAACCGACUAAUGUUGAAAAAUUAGCGGAUGACUUGUGGCUGGGGGUGAAAGGCCAAUCAAACCGGGAGAUAGCUGGUUCUCCCCGAAAGCUAUUUAGGUAGCGCCUCGUGAAUUCAUCUCCGGGGGUAGAGCACUGUUUCGGCAAGGGGGUCAUCCCGACUUACCAACCCGAUGCAAACUGCGAAUACCGGAGAAUGUUAUCACGGGAGACACACGGCGGGUGCUAACGUCCGUCGUGAAGAGGGAAACAACCCAGACCGCCAGCUAAGGUCCCAAAGUCAUGGUUAAGUGGGAAACGAUGUGGGAAGGCCCAGACAGCCAGGAUGUUGGCUUAGAAGCAGCCAUCAUUUAAAGAAAGCGUAAUAGCUCACUGGUCGAGUCGGCCUGCGCGGAAGAUGUAACGGGGCUAAACCAUGCACCGAAGCUGCGGCAGCGACACUGUGUGUUGUUGGGUAGGGGAGCGUUCUGUAAGCCUGCGAAGGUGUGCUGUGAGGCAUGCUGGAGGUAUCAGAAGUGCGAAUGCUGACAUAAGUAACGAUAAAGCGGGUGAAAAGCCCGCUCGCCGGAAGACCAAGGGUUCCUGUCCAACGUUAAUCGGGGCAGGGUGAGUCGACCCCUAAGGCGAGGCCGAAAGGCGUAGUCGAUGGGAAACAGGUUAAUAUUCCUGUACUUGGUGUUACUGCGAAGGGGGGACGGAGAAGGCUAUGUUGGCCGGGCGACGGUUGUCCCGGUUUAAGCGUGUAGGCUGGUUUUCCAGGCAAAUCCGGAAAAUCAAGGCUGAGGCGUGAUGACGAGGCACUACGGUGCUGAAGCAACAAAUGCCCUGCUUCCAGGAAAAGCCUCUAAGCAUCAGGUAACAUCAAAUCGUACCCCAAACCGACACAGGUGGUCAGGUAGAGAAUACCAAGGCGCUUGAGAGAACUCGGGUGAAGGAACUAGGCAAAAUGGUGCCGUAACUUCGGGAGAAGGCACGCUGAUAUGUAGGUGAAGUCCCUCGCGGAUGGAGCUGAAAUCAGUCGAAGAUACCAGCUGGCUGCAACUGUUUAUUAAAAACACAGCACUGUGCAAACACGAAAGUGGACGUAUACGGUGUGACGCCUGCCCGGUGCCGGAAGGUUAAUUGAUGGGGUUAGCGCAAGCGAAGCUCUUGAUCGAAGCCCCGGUAAACGGCGGCCGUAACUAUAACGGUCCUAAGGUAGCGAAAUUCCUUGUCGGGUAAGUUCCGACCUGCACGAAUGGCGUAAUGAUGGCCAGGCUGUCUCCACCCGAGACUCAGUGAAAUUGAACUCGCUGUGAAGAUGCAGUGUACCCGCGGCAAGACGGAAAGACCCCGUGAACCUUUACUAUAGCUUGACACUGAACAUUGAGCCUUGAUGUGUAGGAUAGGUGGGAGGCUUUGAAGUGUGGACGCCAGUCUGCAUGGAGCCGGCCUUGAAAUACCACCCUUUAAUGUUUGAUGUUCUAACGUUGACCCGUGAUCCGGGUUGCGGACAGUGUCUGGUGGGUAGUUUGACUGGGGCGGUCUCCUCCUAAAGAGUAACGGAGGAGCACGAAGGUUGGCUAAUCCUGGUCGGACAUCAGGAGGUUAGUGCAAUGGCAUAAGCCAGCUUGACUGCGAGCGUGACGGCGCGAGCAGGUGCGAAAGCAGGUCAUAGUGAUCCGGUGGUUCUGAAUGGAAGGGCCAUCGCUCAACGGAUAAAAGGUACUCCGGGGAUAACAGGCUGAUACCGCCCAAGAGUUCAUAUCGACGGCGGUGUUUGGCACCUCGAUGUCGGCUCAUCACAUCCUGGGGCUGAAGUAGGUCCCAAGGGUAUGGCUGUUCGCCAUUUAAAGUGGUACGCGAGCUGGGUUUAGAACGUCGUGAGACAGUUCGGUCCCUAUCUGCCGUGGGCGCUGGAGAACUGAGGGGGGCUGCUCCUAGUACGAGAGGACCGGAGUGGACGCAUCACUGGUGUUCGGGUUGUCAUGCCAAUGGCACUGCCCGGUAGCUAAAUGCGGAAGAGAUAAGUGCUGAAAGCAUCUAAGCACGAAACUUGCCCCGAGAUGAGUUCUCCCUGACUCCUUGAGAGUCCUGAAGGAACGUUGAAGACGACGACGUUGAUAGGCCGGGUGUGUAAGCGCAGCGAUGCGUUGAGCUAACCGGUACUAAUGAACCGUGAGGCUUAACCUUACAACGCCGAAGGUGUUU
rnacentral:rRNA from 1 species